GGCUGAUAAACAUAAGAGGGUCUAGAUUAAGUUUGAAGAAUAGAGAGAAAUUGGCAAAAAGGCAGAUUAAAGGAGAAAAAAUCAAUAGAGAAUAAUAAGGUGCUGAAAUAUACAAAAAAAAAAAAAAUAGAGAAAAGAAUGCUAAACUAAAGAAGAAAAGAGAAAAAUUGUGGCCUUCAAAUUUAAAGAAUUCAGAAAUUGAGGACCCCAUGCAUCCAGACCCUAAUAUAAUGUGAACUCUGUUUACCAACUGGACAAUAUAAAUACAUGAACACUAUAUAGUAAAUUUCGCAGGAACACUUUACAGCACGUUUAACAUCAGGGUUUAUUUCGACCGGCAGACGAUGGACAUGAAAACUUUCGCUGUGUUGGUUAUAUUUCUUACCAUGCCAUUUAUGUCUAUCCAGACUGAGACUGAAUGUGAAACAGGAGAUUGUCUGUAUGAAGGACAAUGCUGGGAAAACUAUCGAGGAAUACAAACAACCGUCGAAAGGAAUGUCCGUACCGGAUGUCUGAAAGUUCUUGUCUGCGAUGAAGGAGUCGUCAAAGUACGGAAUGUUUGUAAACAUUGAUGUAAG
rnacentral:lncRNA from 1 species